rnacentral:rRNA from 1 species
AUUGAACGCUGGCGGCAUGCCUUACACAUGCAAGUCGAACGGCAGCACGGGUGCUUGCACCUGGUGGCGAGUGGCGAACGGGUGAGUAAUACAUCGGAACAUGUCCUGUAGUGGGGGAUAGCCCGGCGAAAGCCGGAUUAAUACCGUAUACGAUCUACGGAUGAAAGCGGGGGACCUUCGGGCCUCGCGCUAUAGGGUUGGCCGAUGGCUGAUUAGCUAGUUGGUGGGGUAAAGGCCUACCAAGGCGACGAUCAGUAGCUGGUCUGAGAGGACGACCAGCCACACUGGGACUGAGACACGGCCCAGACUCCUACGGGAGGCAGCAGUGGGGAAUUUUGGACAAUGGGCGAAAGCCUGAUCCAGCAAUGCCGCGUGUGUGAAGAAGGCCUUCGGGUUGUAAAGCACUUUUGUCCGGAAAGAAAUCCUUGGCUCUAAUACAGUCGGGGGAUGACGGUACCGGAAGAAUAAGCACCGGCUAACUACGUG